CGUAGUGAUGUCUAUAAAAGCAAUCCCCCCAUGGCUGUGUCGUUUCCCUCGCUAAAUGUUCUCUCUCUGCUCACAGCUUUUCACGGUGAAAAGGAGAAGGCUAGAGUGAGAAAGAGGGGUGGGUCUCAUUUUUUACUUCAGCUCUUAGGAGUAUGAGAGAGAGAGAGAGAGAGAGAGAGAGACUGUUUUCUCCUUGUCUCAGUGGAUGUGGCGGCCGAAGCUUCCCAACAGUUGACUGUGUUGGAUACGUGAAACCCGGGGGAUACAUUUGCUUUGCGUUCCCCGCCUGAUCAUCUAUCUAUGAGCAACGGUUUGCUCUUCUCUCGUGUUCGUCUCUUCCCUGAGAAGUGGAGAAGGACACGCAGGUCUUUUUGUGUUGCAGGAGGAGGAGAGCAGAAGAAGAGUGAUGGAGAAGCCAGAGAAAGGAGAAGGGUGCUUUCCGGGAAGAGAUGGUGCUUUCUUCUUCUACUGCCAUGGCAGCACACUUGGAUGCUCGCUCCAACUAGUAGGAGGAGGAGGAGGAGGAGGAGAACUAAGAAAGAAAGAAGAUGGAGGGACUUGCAGCCCAACACAAGGAAGCUGCAGCUGAACUCAAGAUGGAUUGGGCAGUUGAUGGGAGGCUUCGACACACAUUAGAUGAAGAUGAAGAUGAAGAUGAAGAUGAAGACGAAGACGAAGAUAAAGAUACAAAGCUGGUGACUGUUGUCUUGCUUUGAGGUUUGUGCGUUCGUGGCGUGCGAUAUUGGCGUAAUAGGCUCAAUCACUUCUUCCUUACUGUCUCAUCUUGUAGAUGUUGCUUUGUUUUUGCUGUGGUGAUGGUUGCUUCUAUGCAAAUCUUGUCAUUUGUCUUCUC